GACGAACGCUGGUGGCGUGCUUAACACAUGCAAGUCGAACGGUAAGGCCCUUCGGGGUACACGAGUGGCGAACGGGUGAGUAACACGUGGGUGAUCUGCCCUGCACUUCGGGAUAAGCCUGGGAAACUGGGUCUAAUACCGGAUAGGACCACUGCCUGCAUGGGUGGUGGUGGAAAGCUUUUGCGGUGUGGGAUGGGCCCGCGGCCUAUCAGCUUGUUGGUGGGGUGAUGGCCUACCAAGGCGACGACGGGUAGCCGGCCUGAGAGGGUGACCGGCCACACUGGGACUGAGAUACGGCCCAGACUCCUACGGGGGGCAGCAGUGGGGAAUAUUGCAAAAUGGGCGAAAGCCUGAUGCAGCGACGCCGCGUGGGGGAUGACGGCCUUCGGGUUGUAAACCUCUUUCAGCACCGACGAAGCGCAAGUGACGGUAGGUGCAGAAGAAGGACCGGCCAACUACGUGCCAGCCGCCGCCGUAA
rnacentral:rRNA from 1 species